CAUAUCUUUUGGGUGAACAGAAGUCUACCUUUAUGGGGCUUACAGGUUGUGUACAAUUUUGUUCUAUACCUAUAUUUCUGGGUUUAUUCAUAUUUCACAGAGAAAUAUUAGUGGAGAAAAACUGUUGAUAGUGAAAGUGAGUUUGCUUUUCUGCCUAAUCUUUAUGCACAUUGUACACUAACAUUUUUAUUCUUUCUUCCUGUUUUCCUGAGCUCUGCAUUCUACCUCCUGAGAGUUUCCUGGUAAUUAGGAUUAUACUUCAGAGAGUGUUUGAGAAUGUGGAGAAAACUAAAAGUAAACCAGUAUGUUAAGACUUCAUGUUUUCCCAAGCUGCCUCCAUAUUCCUGCUUUGUAACUCCUUUAAAAUUAAUCAAAAGCCUGUCACCAUGUUUAGUUUUUACCUUAUAUUUUCACUGUAACAUGGUAGAAUCUCAAUAAAUAGUUGUUAAAUGAAUGGAUGGCUCAUAUCACCAAUACCAAGAGCCUAGUUCCCAAGCAGACACUUGUGUUAAUAAAACAAAGGUAUGCUCUGGCAUAAAAGAAGCUCUUCAAAAAGAAACAGAAAACACGAGAAAGCCAGCAUGUCUGAAUUGCAUUGUUGAGGAGUUCCCUAGAGUUCCUUGUAGCUCUUCUGUUUUCUUUUUUUCUAUUGGAUUUCAUGACCAGCAAACUUUUUAUUAAGUGCUGUCUCCUCUACUUUUUGUGUACCUUCAACAAAUUCUUUCAAUUUCCUGUUAAUUUUAAGAAGUAUAAAUUAAUUGGAAAAAUGGCACUACUACUAUGAAACAGAAUUGAGGUGGAAAGACAAUUGAGGGAAAUAAAAAGUCUCUGAGACUCACUGCUUUGAACAGUCUUUAGAAUACUUUUGACUAAAUGUUUGAUUUGCCUUUUAACAUCAUGAUUGUGAAGUGUAUACACUUUAUAUGUGACAAUUGUUUUAGUUAUAUAUUGUGAUCAUAACUUUGAAAUCUAUCUUUAUUAUAU
rnacentral:lncRNA from 1 species